CAGUCGCCGCGGUAAUACGUAGGUGGCAAGCGUUGUCCGGAAUUAUUGGGCGUAAAGGGCUCGCAGGCGGUUUCUUAAGUCUGAUGUGAAAGCCCCCGGCUCAACCGGGGAGGGUCAUUGGAAACUGGGAAACUUGAGUGCAGAAGAGGAGAGUGGAAUUCCACGUGUAGCGGUGAAAUGCGUAGAGAUGUGGAGGAGCACCAGUGGCGAAGGCGACUCUCUGGUCUGUAACUGACGCUGAGGAGCGAAAGCGUGGGGAGCGAACAGGAUUAGAUACCCCGGUAGUCCCUGUCUCUUAUAC
rnacentral:rRNA from 1 species